AACGAACGCUGGCGGCAGGCUUAACACAUGCAAGUCGAGCGCCCCGCAAGGGGAGCGGCAGACGGGUGUGUAACGCGUGGGAAUCUACCCAUCUCUACGGAAUAACGCAUGGAAACGUGUGCUAAUACCGUAUACGUCCUUCGGGAGAAAGAUUUAUCGGAGAUGGAUGAGCCCGCGUUGGAUUAGCUAGUUGGUGGGGUAAAGGCCUACCAAGGCGACGAUCCAUAGCUGGUCUGAGGGGAUGAUCAGCCACACUGGGACUGAGACACGGCCCAGACUCCGACGGGAGGCAGCAGUGGGGAAUAUUGGACAAUGGGCGCAAGCCUGAUCCAGCCAUGCCGCGUGAGUGAUGAAGGCCCUAGGGUUGUAAAGCUCUUUCACCGGUGAAGAUAAUGACGGUAACCGGAGAAGAAGCCCCGGCUAACUUCGUGCCAGCAGCCGCCGUAAGAC
rnacentral:rRNA from 1 species